CGGGACGGGUGAGUAACGCGUGGGUAACCUGCCAUAUACAGGGGGAUAACACUUAGAAAUAGGUGCUAAUACCGCAUAAGCGCACAGGGGCGCAUGCCCCGGUGUGAAAAACUCCGGUGGUAUAUGAUGGACCCGCGUCUGAUUAGCCAGUUGGCAGGGUAACGGCCUACCAAAGCGAUGAUCAGUAGCCGGCCUGAGAGGGCGGACGGCCACAUUGGGACUGAGACACGGCCCAAACUCCUACGGAAGGCAGCAG
rnacentral:rRNA from 1 species